rnacentral:sRNA from 1 species
GCUGGGCAUGGUGGUGUAUGCCUGUAAUCCCAGUGGCUCAGGAGGCUGAGGCAGGAGGAUUGUGAGUUCAAAGCCAGCCUCAGCAACUUAGCAAGGCACUUAGCACCUCAGCGAGACCCUGUCUCUA